GGUCUUAGUGAUCCGGUGGUUCUGAAUGGAAGGGCCAUCGCUCAACGGAUAAAAGGUACUCCGGGGAUAACAGGCUGAUACCGCCCAAGAGUUCAUAUCGACAUACCGCCCAACCUCGAUGUCGGCUCAUCACAUCCUGGGGCUGAAGUAGGUCCCAAGGGUACGGCUGUUCGCCGUUUAAAGUGGUACGCGAGCUGGGUUUAGAACGUCGUGAGACAGUUCGGUCCCUAUCUGCCGUGGGCGUUGGAAGAUUGAAAGGGGCUGCUCCUAGUACGAGAGGACCGGAGUGGACGCACCACUGGUGUUCGGGUUGUCAUGCCAAUGGCAUUGCCCGGUAGCUAAGUGCGGAAGAGAUAACCGCUGAAAGCAUCUAAGCGGGAAACUUGCCUUGAGAUGAGUCUUCCCUGACCCUUUAAGGGUCCUAAAGGAACGUUUAAGACUAAGACGUUGAUAGGUUGGGUGUGUAAGCGUAGCGAUACGUUGAGCUAACCAAUACUAAUGAACCGUGAGGCUUAACCUG
rnacentral:rRNA from 1 species